UCCUACGGGAGGCAGCAGUGAGGAAUAUUGGUCAAUGGGCGAGAGCCUGAACCAGCCAAGUAGCGUGCAGGACGACGGCCCUAUGGGUUGUAAACUGCUUUUAUAAGGGAAUAAAGUGGGUCACGUGUGACUUUUGCAUGUACCUUAUGAAUAAGGACCGGCUAAUUCCGUGC
rnacentral:rRNA from 1 species